GGUUGAGAGUUCUUGCAUCAUCGCAGCAGAGGUACUUGAUGUACUGAGACUCCUUCUGAAUUUGGGGGUGCUGGACGGAAGCAAUUUCAAAGACAGCUUAUGAACUUCAUUUCUUAGGAGCUCAAAGAGACCUUCCAAAUAACUUUUAAAAACUAAUAAGGUGUCUGAUUGAUUGAGGUGGAGGCAAAAAUUAUUGGUAGUAAUUUUAGGACUAGGAAAAGAAGUACUUUUUUUUUUUUUUUUUGGUACUGGGGAUCAAACUUGGGACCUUGUGCUUGCAAGGCAGGUGGCGGCACCACUGAGCUAAAUCCCUGGAUCCAGAAGUACUUUUUAAAAUGGUUAAACUCUGAAAGGAUGUAAGAAACCUGUUACAUGAUUUAUCAUAAGCACCAUAAGGGAAUUUACUUAAUGUAGUUUUUUAUGUCACAGAGCUAAUGCCCACAUGGAUUGUGGUUUCGUGACUCCCCAAACCUAGUCCAGGGUUAUUCUGCUACCAGCAACUCAGAGUUUUGCAAUGAUAUUCCUCAACUGUUAGUUCUCAUCCUAAUGAGCCAAUGGAUUGCAGAAAAAAUGUUUGCAUCUGCUCUCAAGUAGCACUGAGCAAGGGCUUGGGAGGAAGAGCGCGUCACCAGGCCUCCUGGGAGCUCAGAGAGUAACAGUGAAUGGCAGAUAGGACAGAGGGAGAGGGAAACCCGCAUCCUUCCCUGUGGCUCCCUGAGGGCCCUUGGAACCCUGUUUAUGCUGCUGACGCAGUGUGCCCCACGGGGCCAGGACUCUCGUCUGGCUCAUUCACUGAAGACCCAGGCCUGGAGCGCAGUACGUGUUCCUGUCCAGGCGCCAAAGUAAUUGUGGGAAGAACUAAAUAAAAUCAGUCUUUCUCUUUCUCUUUCCUCUUUCUUUCUUUCUCCCCCCGCCCUUCUUUGUUUUGGUUUUUUGGAGACAGAGUCUUCUCACUAUGUAGCCCAGGCUGGCCUGGAACUCAUAAAAUAUUUCUUAUUCAGCCACAUGUGCUGUAGCCACAAGGUGACAGGGAGACAACCACAUUCUGAAAUAUGUGCUAGGUCAAUUUUCAGGGAUCAUGGUAACUUGUAACUAAUUUUGUUGUGUGGAGGGAAUUAUCGGCUACAGCCAGGGCGUGCGCAUGUGAUGUGCAUGGUACCGCUUCUUCCUGCACUCCAUGGAACACUUUGUUAGUCCAAACUAGGUGUAGGAUAAAUGCAGGUGGCAUGAACUACCGGGGGUCCUGAACGUGAACUGGGAAUCGAAGGCAGGAAGCGUCUGUGCUCCUAGCGGGUGGGACAGCGGUGAAGGAGCAGUUUUCCCGGGGGCGGCACAGCCCGCUCCCUGCUGCUGCUGUGUGCUCACUGGGCUCUGGGAAACGACUGACCCUCAGGGAUCCUAGCCAAGGCCUUUGCACGUCUGAACUCCAGCUGGAAACUCAGCGGAAGCUCCCAGACUCGCGACCCUGCUGGUCCACCUUUGCAGGCUUCCGGCCGUGACACUGCUGGCCUGGGCCAGAAUGGACAAUGAGACACACAGACUGCAAGGGUGUGGUGAAAGCUUAGUAGUUUCUGAUUUUAAGGAUGAGAAAACUGGUGCAAGAAGUUGCUAUGUGUUUCUCGACUUACCUAACAUUUCUGUAUUUAUCUUACGCUAUUAAGCCCAAAUACCAGACGUGGAGGCUAUCACAGAAAAAUCCAGAAGACACAAAGAAUUCCUCUUUUCGGCCUUUUGAAGCAACUGAGGAAAGUCUACUCUGAUGCUGUUAUAUUUAAUAGGCUGCUUCCUUUAUUUAGGUCCCUUCCUCCUCAGAAUUGUCCCCAGUUCAUUUGCUUAGGCAUCAUGAUUUCUCUCUCCUGGGAGUAAAACAGCUGCUCCCUGGCUCUGAAACGGGGCUGUUGUUCUCCGAUCUGACCGGCAGAUGGCAGGAAACACUUCUGAAUGGCGGCUGAAGAUUUCACCGUUACAUCAGUUCAGUGCUUGCUCGCUAAUUCAGAAUGCUCAAUUUUAGUUCUGUAAAUGUUGCCCCAAUAAUAAUGUUCUUUGGAGACCCUCAAAACGGGAAAUCUCUACCAACUCAGGUAAUGUGUACUAACAGAAAAAGGAUUUGUCACAUUAAUUUAACUUGCAGGGCAGACUGAUGAAAAUACCAGAGUGAUGAAAGCCAGGCGUUAAGAGGUGGAAUGUGACAUUCCAGAAAUGCCUGCAGCAUCCUCUUCCACAAUAAAAUCUACAAAACGAAACCAGAUCCCUUGACUGAAGUACCAGAGACGCGGCUCCCUACCCACAUGCUCUGUCUUAGAGGGAGGAGAAGGCAGCGUGCGUGCGGAAGGAGGCGCCUGUGAGUGUGAGGCCAUCUGAGAAGGGGGUGAGGGGACUGCGGUGAGCAGAAGCCAGGAGAAAAGUUGGUGACGCCUCCUGGGAUGCAGGAAGGACCCGAGGCCGCCACACAGCAGGUGCAAGGUGCAGGGCGGGCACUGUGGCUCGGUGUCCGGCCCUUAAAUCAGGCUGGGAGCGGGGCUCAGUGACGGGCAUGCUGAUGUGGAAGCUCGGGUCUAGGAAAUCUAAGGUGGGAAGGACAGAGAGCUUGUUCGCCAGAGUACAGACCUGUGCACCAAUGACCUUGGCCAAAUCAUGGGUGCUUGUGAGUUUCUGCACUGAUGACCCAGGAAUGAUAAUUCCUCUCACGAGGGGCUGCUGAAAAGAUUAAAUAAACAGUACAAGCGAAGGACCAGUGUAGAGCCUGUUACCUGACAGGGAAGCUACUGCUGUUACUACUGUUAACGAUAGAACCAGGUUUCAAAGAGCACAGAAGGGUAGGGGCCCUGCUGUGAUUUUCUUUUCAUCCAUUCAUUCAUCUGUCCCUGCAUCCAUUCACUGGGUGUGUACUGACCACUUGACAUGUGCAGACGCUCGGAGCAUGGCGGUGAGCACCAGGAAAAUGUCCCUGCUCUGAGGGAGAAGCCAGUGAAAAUGCAGAGCCCUAUGUAAUCUAACCUUGUGCUGUGAGAAACACCGCAGAAUACAGGUUCCGGGGAGCCCAGAACCCCAGUACUCCUCCUGUCACACUGAACCCCUCUUCUCAGAUUUCUGUAAAAGACUAGCUUCCCCCCCGGAAGACACUGCCGCCUCUACCCCUCACCUCCAGCGACAGCAGCUGCUCUGUAUGGGCACAACGGCAACUGUGUUUCAAGACCAAGAUUACGGGAAGAGAAAUGACUCUCAGCUGCCUAGGGCUUCCUCUGGGUUCCGGGGUCUUCUUGGGGACAGUGAGGCCUCCACUGCCUUCGCAGAGCGAGGCCCAGGCAACAGCAUCAGCCCCACUGCCAGCUCGUCAGAAGGCAGAUUCCUGGGCCUGACCCGAGACUGACUGAAUGCGCAACUCUGCAGCCCAGCAGCCUGUGUUUCUGACCCUCUGAGUGAUUCUGACAGAGAGGAAGGUUUGGGAGCCUCUGGGUAGCAGAAGUGUUUACUUAGGGGCUGGGGGUGCAGCCAGUGGUAGCACGCUUGCCUGGCAUGUGCAAGGCCCUGGGUUCAACCACUGCAGUGCAAAAAGAAACGAUUUAAUACGAGAACAAAGUCAGAGUGACUAGUGCUCACGCGGCGUGGCAGGUUAUAGACUCUGUACUAGCGUCUUCACGGGCGCGGCUUAUGAAUCCUUGGAAGGGCUGGGCACUCAAAUCUCCCCUUGAAGAUGAAGCGGCGAGGCUCAGAGCCCCAAGAGUCCCUAAAGUCCAAGCUGAGGAGCGGCAGGCCAGGGCUCCAAGUCCAGUCUUUCCGACUCCGCCUCAGCAUCUCCCCACACUGUCACGGUCAUCGAGCUCAUUCUGCUAAGAAGCUCUGGUCUAGACCUUCACUCAGUGCACACCCACGGGCACGUGGUCUCUCCACCCGCCUCCCUGGACCCUGGAUCCUCUGCUGAUAGAGGGACAUAUUGUUUGCAUCUUGGAAAUUGGCUCAUCCUAGUGAAAUAUGUUAAUAUCAAGUUUUUUUAUUUGAAAAUAAUAGUAGACCUAAAGGAAAAUAAGUGACCAUGAUGUUCAUAAACAAAUUAAGUUCCCCAAACCAUGACAGACCUAUUUACUUAGCAAAUUAAUAAAUAUCCUCAAAAUUUUGGGAAGUAACUGAGGAUUGUGCUAAAGAACAAAAUAAGCAGGGUGAUCAUGCGUAAAGAAAUCAGCUUGAGAACGAAACAGCACCAUCUAGUGAAAAGGGAAAUGCUUUCUCCUGAGGACGCUCACACUCCUGUUCCCAGAGCCUUCAGACCCCGCUGCUUCUCCACCUCCGAUCCCCCUCUUCUUUCCAGAGGAGACGCCACCUCUCUCCUGGGCCUCGGAUAUGAGGACUUCCGCAAGUUCUAGCGCAGUUCCCAGGAACCAGAAUUGCGACUCUUGCUGUACCCUGACAGCCUUGUUUCUCAGGUCAAAGAAUUCAGUGCUGCUACGAUUCGAGGUCCUCAUCCCAAACUUGGGGGUCAGCAGGAAAACAGAGUCCCCACACCAAGGAAUUAUCUGGACCCAAAUAUCAACAGGGCUGCUACUGAGAAACACUGCCCCCGACAGAAUGGUUUCACAUCAACAAGACCAUUGAAUGGCAACUGUUGCUGGGCACCGUUCUGACGCUGGGAAAGCAGAAGUGAACUAAGCGUGCAGAAAUCUCUCUCCUCCUGGAGUUUGGCUUCAGUGGGAGGAAAAUGGCUACAGACAAAGCAAUGUGGUGUCAGAGGCUACGGAUUAAUAUGAAGAAGGGUAGGAGACAGCACCUGUCAAGGCUGGGAUGAGGGCUUCUUUGGAUAGAGUGGUCAGAGAAAGACAAUGACAGUUGAUAAAAGAUGUGAAUGAAGUGAGAGGGCAAGAAUUACCUGGAGGAAGAGCCUUCUAGGAACAAGAUCAGUCAGUGCAAAGGCCCUGAGGUGGCAAGUGUCUGUUUAAGUCAAAAGCAAGAGAGAGGUGAAGAGAAUGCUCUGCUUUCCUUCUGUCCCUUCAAGACAAUUAUUACUGGGACAAUUCCGUGUAGGGCACGGUUUCUCAGUGGCAGCACUGGUGACACUUGGGACAGAUAAUUCUUCAGUGUGCGUUGGAGCAUUUUAGUCACUACCUUGACCUCUAUUCACUAGACGCUAAUAGCACCUGCUCCUUGCCUCAGGACAAUCAAAAGUGUCUGUGGACAUUCCAGUGUCUCUUAAGAGCAUCUGAUGAGAGCCACCAGGAGAGGGCAGGCUAGGUGAGCUGCUACAGCGUUCGUCAGCACCGUCAUUCUUUAUAAACUCCUCAGAACAGGUGCUUGGUAACGAAAAAGAGGACUAUAUCUAAAUGAAAACUAAGCAAUAUCCGGAGUCACCGAUAAAGCCAAAAACUUCAACAAGUUACUAUUUGAUUAAAAUAAGUAAUGACAAUUGUGCAAGGACUAAAAAUUAUUACAUACGACUGAUUUGUCUUAAUUAUUAUAUCUGAGAAUAAGCACAAAAACAUGCCAAGGCCCCGAAGCCAGACCUCCAGAAGCAUAAAGGAAGACCCUGAGCGCAUCAUAUGUGUGGUUGAAAGAACAGCCCUCUUUGAUCUGACUGAACUGAUUUAAUUUAAAUUCUAACUUAAAAGCAUGUGAACCGUAUCCAACACCUGAUAACACAUAUUGCCUUUGGACAAUAUAUACCUUGGAAAGUUUCACAACUUGGUAAUUUUUUAAAUGAUUGAUUUCUUGCUAUUCUGCAUCUUUUUCUGGAAGACCUUGGCAAGUUUCUAAUGUCUAAAAAUUUCUAACAAGUUUUUGGAAUAAGUUCAAUAAAUAAAGAACUGAAAAUUCUGUUCUGUCAA